rnacentral:lncRNA from 1 species
AUGAUUGGACUCAAGGAUGUGGACUAGAGGGUUUGAAGCUAACAUUGUUUAACUACGAGAGUAGAGAUUUAAGUUAAAUUUUUAUACUUUCAAAUUUAUAUUUGCUCUAGAAAUUUUAAGAUGCAAACAAUGACUCUCACUAUUUUUCGGAAUCCCUCCACUCUUCAGAUGGGAAACAAAAAUUCUAACGCAAUAAUUAGAUUUCUAGUGGGUGUUACGGUCCCACCA